rnacentral:rRNA from 1 species
AACGAACGCUGGCGGCAGGCUUAACACAUGCAAGUCGGACGCACCUUUCGGGGUGAGUGGCAGACGGGUGAGUAACGCGUGGGAAUCUACCCUUCUCUACGGGAUAGCUCCGGGAAACUGGAAUUAAUACCGUAUACGUCCUGAGGGAGAAAGAUUUAUUGGGGAAGGAUGAGCCCGCGUUGGAUUAGCUAGUUGGUGGGGUAAAGGCCUACCAAGGCGACGAUCCAUAGCUGGUCUAAGAGGAUGAUCAGCCACAUUGGGACUGAGACACGGCCCAAACUCCUACGGGAGGCAGCAGUGGGGAAUAUUGGACAAUGGGCGCAAGCCUGAUCCAGCCAUGCCGCGUGAGUGAUGAAGGCCCUAGGGUUGUAAAGCUCUUUCAGUGGGGACGAUAAUGACGGUACCCACAGAAGAAGCCCCGGCUAACUUCGUG